rnacentral:rRNA from 1 species
UACGGGGGGGGGCGAGCGUUGUUCGGAAUUACUGGGCGUAAAGCGCACGUAGGUGGCGACGUAAGUCGGGUGUGAAAGCCCCGGGCUCAACCUGGGAAUUGCAUUCGAGACUGCAUUGCUGGAGUACGGAAGAGGAAGGCGGAAUUCCCGGUGUAGCGGUGAAAUGCGUAGAUAUCGGGAGGAACAUCAGUGGCGAAGGCGGCCUUCUGGUCCAGUACUGACACUCAAGUGCGAAAGCGUGGGGAGCAAACAGGG